rnacentral:rRNA from 1 species
AGGACGAACGCUGGCGGCGUGCUUAACACAUGCAAGUCGAGCGGAAAGGCCCUUCGGGGUACUCGAGCGGCGAACGGGUGAGUAACACGUGAGCAACCUGCCCCUGGCUCUGGGAUAGCUCCGGGAAACCGGGAUUAAUACCGGACAUGACCUCCUCCCGCAUGGGUGGGGGUGGAAAGUUUUUCGGCCAGGGAGGGGCUCGCGGCCUAUCAGCUUGUUGGCAGGGUAAUGGCCUACCAAGGCGACGACGGGUAGCCGGCCUGAGAGGGCGACCGGCCACACUGGGACUGAGACACGGCCCAGACUCCUACGGGAGGCAGCAGUGGGGAAUAUUGGACAAUGGGCGAAAGCCUGAUCCAGCAAUGCCGCGUGUGUGAAGAAGGUCUUCGGAUUGUAAAGCACUUUCGACGGGGACGAUGAUGACGGUACCCGUAGAAGAAGCCCCGGCUAACUUCGCGCCAGCAGCCGC